UACGAAGGGGGCGAGCGUUGUUCGGAUUUACUGGGCGUAAAGGGCGCGCAGGCGGCUCUGUUUGUCAGGCGUGAAAGCCCCGGGCUCAACCUGGGAAUGGCGCCUGGGACGGCAGGGCUUGAGAUCGGGAGAGGAGCGUGGAACUCCCAGUGUAGAGGUGAAAUUCGUAGAUAUUGGGAAGAACACCGGUGGCGAAGGCGGCGCUCUGGACCGAGACUGACGCUGAAGCACGAAAGCGUGGGGAGCAAACAGG
rnacentral:rRNA from 1 species